rnacentral:tRNA from 1 species
CGCGGGGUAGAGCAGUUGGUAGCUCGUCGGGCUCAUAACCCGGAGGUCACUGGUUCAAGUCCGGUCCCCGCAACCA